CUGUGAGCUGCCAGCUGGACUUUGUGUUCCUCCGUGAAGCGACACGAAGGUCCGUGUGUGUGUGUGUGUGUGUGUGUGUGUGUGUGUGUGUGUGUGUGUGUGUGUGAGAGAGAGAGAGAGAGAGAGAGAGAGAGAGAGGAGGAGGAGCACCGCUGAUGAAGAUCCGGAGCGUUUUAACCGGAAACGACGACAGCAGAGCUCCGUGUGUCAGCUGUGUGACCUGUGGGAGUCUGCACAUGCUCAGUUCGACUCUCUUCUGGGUAGACAGUAGGAGCUUGGACCAUCUGUUUUGGAGGUAAAUCGGAGGAUUGGAGGCAGUCUCAGUCUGCAGGUUCCUCGCUGUCGUGUUUGGAAGCUAACAGACGUCGGACAGGUCGGGUUUGUUUGCAGAGAAACACGUUUGGCAGCCUAUCAGGUUUCAGCUCAGGUGUGUGCAUUUGGGUGUGUGCCUACCAGGAUGUCCUCCUCAGAGCUGCUUUACCUGCUCUCCACACACAUACACACACACACACACACCUGCUUUGUCUGUUUGUCAGCUGCUGCUGGGUUAUGUGACCCACACAGAUGCCUUCUGCACACUGCUGCAGCGUCUCAGGCUUUCAGAACAUUGA
rnacentral:lncRNA from 1 species